rnacentral:rRNA from 1 species
CAAUAACGUAUAUUUAAGUUGUUGCAGUUAAAAAGCUCGUAGUCGGAUUUUGGCUGAGAACGAUCGGUCCGCCGUUAGGUGUGCACUGAUUGGUCUCAGCUUCCUGGUGAGGAGGUGUGCUUCGCGGCCACUUAGUCACCGUGGUUACUUUGAAAAAAUUAGAGUGUUCAAAGCGGGCUUACGCUUGAAUAUAUUAGCAUGGAAUAACACCAUAGGACUCCUGUCCUAUUUCGUUGGUCUCGGGACGGGAGUAAUGAUUAAGAGGAACAGUUGGGGGCAUUCGUAUUUCAUUGCCAGAGGUGAAAUUCUUGGAUUUAUGAAAGACGAACUUCUGCGAAAGCAUUUGCCAAGGAUGUUUUCAUUGA